UCAAGACACAGGAUUGGACUCCAGCCAGAC
rnacentral:piRNA from 1 species